rnacentral:rRNA from 1 species
AGUGAAUCUUCGGCAAUGGACGAAAGUCUGACCGAGCAACGCCGCGUGAGUGAAGAAGGUUUUCGGAUCGUAAAACUCUGUUGUUAGAGAAGAACAAGGAUGAGAAGAGAAUGUUCAUCCCUUGACGGUAUCUAACCAGAAAGCCACGGCUAACUACGUGCCAGCAGCCGCGGUAAUACGUAGGGUGCAAGCGUUAAUCGGAAUUACUGGGCGUAAAGCGAGCGCAGGCGGUUAUUUAAGUCGGAUGUGAAAGCCCCCGGCUUAACCGGGGAGGGUCAUUGGAAACUGGGGAACUUGAGUGCAGAAGAGGAGAGUGGAAUUCCAUGUGUAGCGGUGAAAUGCGUAGAUAUAUGGAGGAACACCAGUGGCGAAGGCGGCUCUCUGGUCUGUAACUGACGCUGAGGCUCGAAAGCGUGGGGAGCAAAC